UGGGGAAUAUUGGACAAUGGGCGAAAGCCUGAUCCAGCAAUGCCGCGUGAGUGAUGAAGGCCUUAGGGUUGUAAAGCUCUUUUACUGGGACGAUAAUGACGGUACCCGAGGAGGAAGCCACGGCUAACUACGUGCCAGCAGCCGCGGUAAUACGUAGGUGGCGAGCGUUGUCCGGAUUUACUGGGCGUAAAGGGAGCGUAGGCGGACUUUUAAGUGAGAUGUGAAAUACCCGGGCUCAACUUGGGUGCUGCAUUUCAAACUGGAAGUCUAGAGUGCAGGAGAGGAGAAUGGAAUUCCUAGUGUAGCGGUGAAAUGCGUAGAGAUUAGGAAGAACACCAGUGGCGAAGGCGAUUCUCUGGACUGUAACUGACGCUGAGGCUCGAAAGCGUGGGGAGCAAACA
rnacentral:rRNA from 1 species